rnacentral:rRNA from 1 species
GGAGUUAGCCGGUGCUUCUUCUGUGAGUGAUGUCCUUCCUGCCGGCUAUUAACCCGCAGGCCUUCUUCCUCACUGAAAGUGCUUUACAACCCGAAGGCCUUCUUCACACACGCGGCAUGGCUGGAUCAGGGUUGCCCCCAUUGUCCAAUAUUCCCCACUGCUGCCUCCCGUAGGAGUCUGGGCCGUGUCUCAGUCCCAGUGUGGCUGAUCAUCCUCUCAGACCAGCUACGGAUCGUCGCCUUGGUGAGCCGUUACCUCACCAACCAGCUAAUCCGACAUAGGCUCAUCCGAUAGCGCGAGGCCCGAAGGUCCCCCGCUUUCCCCCGUAGGGCGUAUGCGGUAUUAGCCUGGGUUUCCCCAGGUUAUCCCCCACUACCGGGCAGAUUCCUAUGCAUUACUCACCCGUCCGCCGCUCGACACCAGGGAGCAAGCUCCCCGUGCUGCCGCUCGACUUGCAUGUGUUAGGCCUGCCGCCAGCGUUCAAUCUGAGCCAGAAUCAAACUCUGA